CGUUAUUUCGACAAAUUGCACAAUGAAUCUUCACCUGACGGCUCAAUAGAGUUACUGACUGUGACUAUUCAAUGCCGUAAUCGUGUCGAUCGAUUAGCAAUGUCUGGGCGAAAGACAGACGCACGCUGCGUCACGGCUGCCGCGUGAUUGAAUUUCCAAAGUAACUUUUACUUGCUGAAAGGCACCGCAGCUGCUUCUUCCAAGGUGGACCACUUUGCACAAACUCCAGAAGGGCUUUGAAACAGCAGUUCUUCAGCAAGACCUUCUUUCUUGGCUCCCUUCCCUGCGCACCAGCAUCAAAGAGGUCCUCAUACGGCUCCCUGGUGCAUCUUUUCUCCGCUGCGCACCACCGCUCCUUCAGUGACCACGGGCCUCUCGGCGCUCAACUUCCACUUCCAGCGAUCCUCUCCAUACCUUUCCUCUGGAUCCCUGUGGGGUUUUUAUUCGCUAAAUGAGUGCAGUUUCUUCAGAGCAUAGGUUUGAACACUGCCCUUUGAACCUUUUGCUUCUUCACGAGCUUCUGACGUGACUGGACGCUCUUGGAAGAUCCUCCCUUGACACUUCUUUCCACAUGCUGCGAGUGCUGGGACGAAGCAACACACUCCUGCAGAACACACCCGACUCAAAGCAGCCAUUGUGUUCAGCCGCAUUGCCGUGAAAAUAAAGGAAACUGCACAGUACAAUUGUUCUGCUAAUGCAACUGGUUGUACUUUUAUUGUUACUUCAUUCACUAAACAGUUCAAUGGUGCAAGAUUACAUACACAGAAUUAAGAUAUCUGCAUUACACAUCUAGGCUAUACAGCAAAUGGAUUAUAAUUAUUACAAAUAAAUGAAACAUAUUUACAUUUUAAUUCAAGCUCCAUACAACAUAGAUAUUUACAAAAGAAGUAUGAAAAUGAAGCCAGUGUGACAAAUGUACAGUGUUAAUGUUUCAGUUUGUCGUCGCGACUUGGAGCAGAGGGCACACCCACGGUUCCGUGGGAAUGGGUCUUCCGGAGAGGAAGCCUCACGGUUAGUUUGGAGCGGGAAACACUGGGAUGAGCACUUCUGAAGGAGCAAUGAUGAGCUGCGGUUGUCCUACACCUCAGCUAUAGCUAGUCUCAUUUUCUUAAACUUACAACCUGACGUUAGGAAGGAGGGAAAAAAAA